CAUUAAGUGGCUGAAAUUUAAGCAUUGGUCUCUUAAACCAAUAAAUAGUAAUUUUAAACUUACUCUUAAUGA
rnacentral:tRNA from 1 species